rnacentral:rRNA from 1 species
GUGGGGAAUCUUGCGCAAUGGGCGAAAGCCUGACGCAGCCAUGCCGCGUGAAUGAUGAAGGUCUUAGGAUUGUAAAAUUCUUUCACCGGGGACGAUAAUGACGGUACCCGGAGAAGAAGCCCCGGCUAACUUCGUGCCAGCAGCCGCGGUAAUACGAAGGGGGCUAGCGUUGCUCGGCAUUACUGGGCGUAAAGGGCGCGUAGGCGGACAGUUUAGUCAGAGGUGAAAGCCCAGGGCUCAACCUUGGAAUUGCCUUUGAUACUGGCUGUCUUGAGUACGGGAGAGGUGAGUGGAACUCCGAGUGUAGAGGUGAAAUUCGUAGAUAUUCGGAAGAACACCAGUGGCGAAGGCGACUCACUGGCCCGUUACUGACGCUGAGGCGCGAAAGCGUGGGGAGCAAACAGGAUUAGAUACCCGUGUAGUCC